GAGAAUAAAACACCUAAAUGAAAAGGAAUAUGCUUGUAAUUCAUACUAAUGAACUCACCUUAAUACACAAACUAAAGCAGCCUCAAGAGCAAUGCAUUGCAAUCAGAAUUCUGGACUUUUUUGUACCAAUAACUUAUGUCAAAAUGAAGAAACUGAAGCAUAAAGCAUUUAGAAGGCUGCAAGUUUCCAGAGAAGCUGAAGAAAAUCUUUCCCUUAGUCCUUUCUUUGUUCAAGAUAUUCCUCUAAGAAAAAAAAUUAAAAGCAAUCCCCAUGUAGCACAAAUUUAAAAAGUGAAAGCUUUGUAAAGAUCUAUCACAGCAACCCUGAAGAGAUGUGGAAUUGAAAGUGAGAAAUAAAUAUUUAUAAAUGCAAAGA